rnacentral:rRNA from 1 species
AUACGGAGGGUGCAAGCGUUACUCGGAAUCACUGGGCGUAAAGGACGCGUAGGCGGAUUGGAAAGUCAGAUGUGAAAUCCUACAGCUUAACUGUAGAACUGCAUUUGAAACGUCUAAUCUAGAGUAUGGGAGGGGGAGAUGGAAUUAGUGGUGUAGGGGUAAAAUCCGUAGAUAUCACUAGGAAUACCGAAAGCGAAGGCGAUCUCCUGGAACAUAACUGACGCUAAGGCGUGAAAGCGUGGGGAGCAAACGGGAUUAGAUACCCGAGUAGUCC